CACGUCAUCCCCCUUAAUCUGCGUUUCAAGCCCAGGUAAGGUUCUUCGCGUUGCAUCGAAUUGAACCACAUGCUCCACUGCUUGUGCGGGCCCCCGUCAAUUCCUUUGAGUUUCAACCUUGCGAUCGUACUCCCCAGGUGGAAUACUUAAUGCGUUAGCUGCGACACUGAGUUUUUACACCCAACGUCUAGUAUUCAUCGUUUAGGGCGUGGACUAC
rnacentral:misc_RNA from 1 species